AGAGAGGGAGGGAGAGAGAGCGCGGCCACGCUGCGUUGUUAUACUUAGAUUGAGUUGAGAUUAUCCGAUAUAUAUCGAAGGAUUCGGAGGAAUCAUCCCUGACGUAACGUGACGCCCGAGCGCUAGAAAACCGUGAAACGGAUCGGGCCACUCGACGACUCGGGAGCGUUCUCCCGGCGCCCGGCCUGGGGGCGUGAGAGGGUGAGCGAAACGAAGGGCAGAGAAAAUGAAUAAAGGAGGUUCUGGCUGCGGCACGUGCGAGGGCUACCGACCGCAAAAGAGGCGGCUUAUAUUAUUAUAACGUGGCCAGGUGGGCGAGACCGUCUAUUGGCGGCGCUAACGAGGGAUCGGUAAUUAUUACCCACGACUUAACUCCUAGCUGCGCGUGCAAAGACCUUUUAUUGCUCGACGGCUCGCACACCCUCCUUCGCCGAGCCGAUCUACCACGCGGGGGUUGCGUAACGCGCCCACCCCUGCGCGGUUGUCAAUUUGAGAAAUAUUUGCACGGCCGUGCGCGAAUUGUGCUCGUCGGGUCGCCGGCCGAACUUCUUCAAAGCGCGCUCCAGGUCGCUGCAGUUAUAUAUAUAUAUUUUUUAUAUAAAUAUAUAUUUUUCCCGGCUUCGUGCCGCGUCCAUCUUGGAUUUGCUCUCGACGUUUCGUGAACAUCCAGUUCGCUUCUUCAGCCAGAGAGCAACAGCCAGAAACUCUGAAAAACUCUUCGAAAGUUUCUGGGUGUUCCUCUUCCCGAGGAAGUGAACUGGAACGAAGAAAGAGAGAGAAAUCCGAGAUGGACGCUGUUGCACAAGCCUGAAAGUUGGAUGAAAUAUACCUUUUCUCCUUCCAACGGGAUACGCGCGAUCUUUUUCGACACUCCUCUUUCGCCGAAUCUCGAAACAUGCGCAACUGAUAACUCCGACAUCCGAGCAGUAUGCGUCUUGGCAGUUUAUCGCUUUACAAUUCAACGCACGGCGAAGAAAAUUAGUAGCUUAAUUUGGCAUAUAUUAAGGCGUACCGAGAUGCAUUUCGCUUUGUGCGCCGCUUAUCACUCACGCACAACUGCGGCGGUCGGAACGUAUAUUACACGACUCUCGAGAUUUGAUGGAGUUGUUGACCCUUGUUAAUAUAUCUGCGUGUGCCGCAACGAUUAUACACUUUCAGCGCAUUAGUGUGAAAGCACGUUUACCUGUCCGGUCAAGGUGGACGAUCCAUCAUCGUGUCAACGGACCAUUAUAAUGUAGCAAGUAUUUUAUAGGUUUUUUCAUAUCUCGGAUUCCCCCACGGAAUCUUUCGCAGUCGGCAGAUAACGUCCACGAGAUGUAUGAGAAUUGAACGAGGGGUUCCACGAAUCCCAAUCUUACCCUGCGUUAGGCCCAAAUAAAACUCCGCUGAGAAGGUCAACAUAUUUCGCUUAAUACCAUCAGAAGCCGCCUGCAUAAAAAUGAUGUGGCAUCACCACAUUUCGGUCCACCAUGAAGAAACCACUGCUGUCAGAAAAGCUCGAAAAUGGGAUAAUUAUGAUGGAUUGGCCGGUAUUCUCUCCAGACGCAAAUCCCAUCGAAAAUGUGUGGUCAUACCUUAAGAUGAAACUUAAAGGAAAGCGUGUCUUCACUUUUAAGCAGCUGUGCAUAAAAAUAAAAACAAUAUGGCGUUCUUUGCCAGAAUACGCCGAAAAUCUGGUCAAAAAUAUGCAAAAACGGUGCCAAGCAAUAAUUGAUAAUGGAAGCGACUGGAUCAAAUAUUAGAUUAUCACCAACGCUUUCUUGUUGGACAGAUUGUAUGUGUGUAAACUUUUUUUUAUAAAUCCUAAUCUAACCUGAACCAACC